UACGUAGGGGGGCAAGCGUUUGUCCGGAUUUAUUGGGCGUAAAGAGCGUGUAGGCGGCCUUACAGGUCAGCUGUGAAAACUCGAGGCUCACCUCGAGACGUCGGUUGAAACCGUAAGGCUAGAGUCCGGAAGAGGAGAGUGGAAUUCCCGGUGUAGCGGUGAAAUGCGCAGAUAUCGGGAAGAACACCCGUGGCGAAGGCGGCUCUCUGGGACGGUACUGACGCUGAGACGCGAAAAGCGUGGGGGAGCGAACAG
rnacentral:rRNA from 1 species